UACGGGGGGGGCAAGCGUUGUUCGGAAUUACGGGGCGUAAAGGGCGCGUAGGCGGUUUGCUAAGUUGGAUGUGAAAACUGUGGGCUCAACCCCGAGUCUGCAGUCGAUACGGGCAGACUAGAGUGCUAUAGGGGAGACUGGAAUUCCUGGUGUAGCGGUGAAAUGCGCAGAUAUCAGGAGGAACACCGGUGGCGAAGGCGGGUCUCUGGGCAGUAACUGACGCUGAGGAGCGAAAGCGUGGGGAGCGAACAGG
rnacentral:rRNA from 1 species